CAAGUAGGCGGCAUGACAAGUCUGGUGUGAAAUAUCUCGGCUCAACCGAGAAAACGCACUGGAAACUGUCAAGCUUGAGUAUCGGAGGGGAAGCUAGAAUUCCUGGUGUAGGGGUGAAAUCUGUAGAUAUCAGGAAGAAUACCGGUGGCGAAGGCGAGCUUCUGGCCAGAUACUGACGCUGAGAUGCGAAAGCGUGGGGAGCGAACAGGAUUAGAUACCCUGGUAGUCC
rnacentral:rRNA from 1 species